rnacentral:pre_miRNA from 1 species
AGUGGAAUUGCUGGGUCAUAUGGUAAAUCCUUAUUUAACCUUGUGAAUAAUUGCUAGAUUGUUUUCCAAAGUGGCUUCACCAUUUUAUCUUUCCACCAGCAAU